rnacentral:rRNA from 1 species
GACAAAAGUAAAAGAUAUAACGAGUCUGUCCUCAGUCAUCUGUCCUCUGUCCUCUGAGCGGUAGAGGAGCGUUCUGUAGGCUGUUGAAGGUGGAUUGAGAAGUCUGCUGGAGGUAUCAGAAGCGCGAAUGUUGACAUGAGUAACGAUAAUGGGGGUGAAAAGCCUCCACGCCGGAAGUCCAAGGUUUCCUGCACGACGUUAAUCGGAGCAGGUUGAGUCGGCCCCUAAGGUGAGGCUGAAGAGCGUAAUCGAUGGGAAACAGGUUAAUAUUCCUGUACUUGAAUUAGAUUCGAUGGGAUGACGGAGAAGGCUAGGCACGCUGGCUGUUGGUUGCCAGUGCAAGCGCGUAGGGCGUGGUGGAGUCAAAUGCUUCACUGCAUUGCCUGAGACGUGACGCGGGUUUCGCUUUAUGCGAGAGAAGGUGUUGAUGCCCUGCUUCCAGGAAAAGUCUCUAAGGUUAGUCUAAUUUGAACCGUACCCCAAACCGACACAGGUGGACAGGUAGAGAAUACCAAGGCGCUUGAGAGAACUCGGGUGAAGGAACUAGGCAAAAUGGUACCGUAACUUCGGGAGAAGGUACGCCCCAUUUGGUGAUGGGAUUAACUCCCUAAGCUGAGCGGGGUCGCAGAUACCAGUUGGCUGCGACUGUUUAUUAAAAACACAGCACUCUGCAAACACGUAAGUGGACGUAUAGGGUGUGACGCCUGCCCGGUGCCGGAAGGUUAAUUGAUGUGGUGCAAGCUGCUGAUCGAAGCCCCGGUAAACGGCGGCCGUAACUAUAACGGUCCUAAGGUAGCGAAAUUCCUUGUCGGGUAAGUUCCGACCUGCACGAAUGGCGUAACGAUGGCCAAUCUGUCUCCACCCGAGACUCAGUGAAAUUGAAAUCGCAGUUAAGAUGCUGCGUUCCUGCGGCUAGACGGAAAGACCCCGUGAACCUUUACUACAGCUUUACACUGGACCUUGAAUUAUCUUGUGUAGGAUAGGUGGGAGGCUAAGAAGUGUGCGCGCUAGCGUGCAUGGAGCCAUCGUUGAAAUACCACUCUGGAUGAUUUGAGGUUCUAACUUGGCAUCCGAAACGGGUGUAAGGACAGUGUAUGGUGGGUAGUUUGACUGGGGCGGUCUCCUCCCAAAGAGUAACGGAGGAGCACAAAGGUACCCUCGGCGCGGUCGGACAUCGCGCUAUGAGUGUAAAGGCAUAAGGGUGCUUGACAGCGAGACUGACGGGUCAAGCUGGUUCGAAAGAAGGUCUUAGUGAUCCGGUGGUUCUGAAUGGAAGGGCCAUCGCUCAACGGAUAAAAGGUACUCCGGGGAUAACAGGCUGAUACCGCCCAAGAGUUCAUAUCGACGGCGGUGUUUGGCACCUCGAUGUCGGCUCAUCACAUCCUGGGGCUGAAGCAGGUCCCAAGGGUAUGGCUGUUCGCCAUUU